rnacentral:rRNA from 1 species
AGAGUUUGAUCAUGGCUCAGAACGAACGCUGGCGGCGUGCCUAACACAUGCAAGUCGAACGAGAAAGGGGCUUCGGCCCUGAGUAAAGUGGCGCACGGGUGAGUAACACGUAGGUAACCUGCCUCUAAGAUUGGGAUAACAUGUCGAAAGACGUGCUAAUACCGAAUGAGACCACAGUUUCCUCGGAAACAGGGGUCAAAGGUAGCCUCUAUUUAUAAGCUAUCACUUAGAGAUGGGCCUGCGUACCAUUAGCUAGUUGGUAGGGUAACGGCCUACCAAGGCAAAGAUGGUUAGCUGGUCUGAGAGGAUGAUCAGCCACACUGGAACUGAGACACGGUCCAGACUCCUACGGGAGGCAGCAGUGGGGAAUAUUGCGCAAUGGGCGAAAGCCUGACGCAGCAACGCCGCGUGAGUGAUGAAGGCCUUCGGGUCGUAAAGCUCUGUCGGAGGGAACGAAUGUUUCUGANGUUAACAGCGUCCNGAGUGACGU